GAGUAAUGCGUGACCGACCUGCCCAUACACCGGAAUAGCUCCUGGAAACGGGUGGUAAUGCCGGACGCUCCAGUUGAUCGCAUGGUCUUCUGGGAAAGCUUUCGCGGUAUGGGAUGGGGUCGCGUCCUAUCAGCUUGACGGCGGGGUAACGGCCCACCGUGGCUUCGACGGGUAGCCGGCCUGAGAGGGGCGACCGGCCACAUUGGGACUGAGAUACGGCCCAGACUCCUACGGGAGGCAGCAUG
rnacentral:rRNA from 1 species